AAAAUGUUAAAAUGAGAAAUUAAAUGGAUAGUUCACCGUUGGCUUGCCUAGCGGCGACGUUGGACGCCGUCACGGCUUAUAGUAAAAAUUUGGUUGUGACAAUUUUGCAAGAGUUAUUAUUACAUGCCCAAUCAGAAAGAGAUAAAGAAUACACUGGCCACAUGCCUAGUGACAAAACAACUAAAUACAGUGUAAACCCAAGUGAAUUUGGGCCUUCAAAUUUUCCAAAGAAAUGGAGGGGCCAAUAAGUUGCACCCAUAACCCAGCUAUAGCGAGAAGAGGCCCAAUUAAAGGUAAUUAGCUACAGAACUUGUCCGUCGCUAAAACCAGAUUUGUUAGUAGUGUAUACAGACAACACAAGUGAUAAGUUAAGCCAUGUAUAUUGUUACUAAUUUUUAACAGGAUAGCCAAGCCGUAAUGAAUCACUUUUUGCACCAAACGAGUGACUUAAGGUUUACAAACAAGUUCCCUGUCAACAAGGAAAGAAAUAGGUCACAAUGAACACACUUGAACUUCUGCCUUCAUGUUUCAGGCCUUAUCAACGAUUAAGAGCAGCAAGAGCAGAACUUUAGGCAAACUUAAGGUCUGACUUGUCAUAUAAAAGAACACAUGUGAAUUAUUCUUAUUAAAUAGCGAGUGAGAUGCCUCUAAAAUCCACAUUCAAUCAAUUCUAACCAAUUUGAAUCACCCCUUAGUAGCAAACUAACAAACUAUAACAGGACAUUCAACAAAGAAUGGCAAGCUAAACACCAAAUUCGAACAAUGCACCUAUCCAAAUCGACUAGCUAAGUCUAAUUGCAUAAUCACACAUUGAGCAUAGUCAAGAUUUUAAUAGAAGCAUCAACAAUUGAACUUCAUGGUGUGAGACAGUGGCACAUAUUUCCUAUAAGCAUACUUUGACUACAAAAUUAAGACAAGAACACAAUUGGGAAAGCCGAUCACAUCAAAUUUCACAAUUAAAUAGGCAAGAGUAAAAUCAAAUGGCUAAGAGACUAACCAGUCAAGACAAUAACAAGAACGAGUUGCAGAAAUUGCAAAGAGCCCUAAUAGCAUCUCUAGAACCUCGAAUCCCGGCAAGUCAAAGUUCACGACGACCUCUUGGGAUAUCGAGUAGUGCUUAUGCCGGUAAAAGGUCUAAAGAAUCAAUACCAGAUGGCAUUGGCUUCCAGCCGACCAUAGAUCAACCAAACAAUAGUAGAAUCAAGUAGAACCAAGAGAGCAUAGAACACAGAAAAAUAAGUGCGAGUAUGAGUGUGAUAAUACGAGUGACCUAUGUCUGCCUCCAGGGGGAAAAGGAUGGGGUUUAUAUAGUAUUCGAUUCACACAACCAUAAAAGGAAAGAAUCCAUUGAACCACAGAAUAAAGAAACAAUCUCAUACAUAUCGAUUCCAUACCGGAUUACGGCUAAAACUCACACACCAAAAUCACUGCAUGUACCAACGAAUCAGACGGUCAAGGAGGGUAAAGAUUUUCCCCAAAUGUAUUGAUCUGGAAUUUAGAGCCGAUUCAUUUUGAAUCCUGCAAAAUCGAGUGAGCGAGUACCAUAAAUUGAUUGGGUACCAGGGAGCGGGUGCCAUAGAUGGUGAAGAAUCCUUGAUUGACCCGGGAAAGGAAAG
rnacentral:lncRNA from 1 species